CAAUCGCCACACAACACUCACGUCACCAUCACCACACCUCCAUUUACCACUUUUCGCUGUACUAGCACCAGCACCGCAUUAACCAUCCCUUUACCGUCACCAUCACCACCAUCAUGCUACCACCUCCAUGGACAAACAGACAAAAAUAGUUAAGACUAAAAUAAGACAACACAGAACACAGACAACAGUGGAAAUAUGUGAACGAUCAUUAAAAUGGAAUGUCAAGUUAAGAAAAACAAGCAUUUUCGGCACCUCCUUUAUUUUGCUUUUAAUCAAGGUUCUAAGGCCGCAAAAGUUGCUUGUGACACUUGUGCUGUCUAUGGAGAGGGUGCCAUAGCUGAAAGAACCGUUCGUGACUGGUAUGCCAAGUUCAAAAAUGGAAAUUUUGACCUUAAAGACGCACCUCAUUCUGGCCAUCCAGUUGAGUUCGAUGAGGAGUGAUUAAACCAACUUUUACACGAAAAUUCUCAUCAAACGACAAGGUAACUGGCAGAGAAAAUGGAAUGCUCCCACACUGCUAUAGAGAAGCAUCUUCACUCGAUGGGAAAGGUUCAGAAGUUGGGAGCAUGGGUUCUGCAUGCUUUAAGUGACAACAACAAAAAUCAAGGAGCCACAAUCUCCGCUUAUUUGCUUGAUCGUCACCGCUCAACUCAUGGACACAAGCAACGAUUUCUUUACCAAAUCGUUACUGGUGAUGAAAAAUGGUGCCUGUACAUCAAUAUGAAACAACGUAAGGAAUGGCUUAGCCCCGGUAAACAAGCGACACCGCGCGUGAAACAAGAUCUGUAUGUAUGUAUGUAUUCGCAGUUUUGCAGUCAAAACUGGAGUGAACCCAAUGAUUGAGAAGAACAUCGUUAAUUUGUAGUGUCUGGUCUUUCCCUGAUAUUGCCUGGACAUUCAACGCUUUCAGUUAAUAAACCACUCGUUAGUUUAUAUUGAUACAUCUGCCUUCAACUGAGAGAUGUUCCUAGUAUGCUGUUAUUUCCAGUAAAAAUUACCAGCUGAGAGCAAUGCCUUGGCCCAUAGACUCAAGAUGUGUCAUAGACAGGGUUCGAACAACCCACUUUAUGUUCAUUUAUCUGAUUCACUUAUCUAAACUCUCUAAGAAUUAAUUAAAAUUAGUUUAAAUAUUGCAGCAAUCUAUCUGUUAUAGGACACAAAGGAGGAGAAACGAAAGGAAAAAAUUAGUAUCGAUUCUUGCAAUUGUCUUUUUUUUUUUAUCGAUUUAGCGACCGCUUUUCUCGGUGACCUUCACAAGCCAAGCUCUCUGGCUUUUGCUAAUCCUAUUAACGUAACACCUGUGACCACUCUGCAAAACAAGGUAUCACAGCUUCCAGAAAUGUCUCAAUAAUUAAAUUUUGAUAUUUCCUUAAUCUUUGAUGAAUAUUUUUAUCCUUGUUAAAAAUAUUGACCGUAUCUAAUUUGUUUUAAUCAUAGUUGUUCUUUUCAAGUCGACAGACAGGCGUAACUAGUAGAUCUCUGAAAAAAAUCAACUAUGUUAAACAGACAGACACCGUAACGAAAAAAAGAAUCAUAAAAGAAAAUGGACGACUUUAAGCUCAACAAUUUCUAGUUUACAUGUAUGGAAAUCAUUGGAAAUUUAAUACUUUUACCGUAAUAUUAACAUUUCAUUUUCUGUAUCAAUUAUACAGUUAACCUUGUUUUCUCUACGUCUUCUAGACGUCAAACCAGAUCUAUUCAUGAUUUUCAUGCAAAAGAAGUGAAAAGAGGGUAUUUUUGUAAACAUGAGACAACAGCUGCUCAAGUCGUUAAACUCGGUUUUUGUCAAAUGAAAAAUAAAUUAUUGACUUUGAUCAAUAUAAAGGUUUUAGUUUUAGUGUAUAACUGAGCUAAGCAGCUGUGAAGUUUCAGUAACUGGUAAGACAAACAACAUUUCUAUCAGUCAAAUAAAAUUCCCAUAAACUAAGGAAUCAACAAAGAUUA